UUGUUUGGUAGUUUGGACUACCUAUUUCUAUGUUUUUCAUUGACUUAAAUAAGAAACAACAAGUUGCACAAAAAAAAAAGAAACAACAUAAGCAAAUGGAGUCAUGGACUCAUUACAAAAGGGGAUAAUGGAAAGUGGAGUUUAACAACUCUUGACAAAAGGGUAACCCAGUAGAAAUGCAGAACUAAUUCUCCUAAAGACUAGGUUUGUUAUUGAACAAGUAAAUAACUAAACAAAACACGUCACAUCGUUUUUUUUUUGAAACACUACUUCAUUCAUUCAGUUAAAAGUGUUAGGUGGAGGACAUCAAUGCCUCAUUAACAACAAGAAUCUGCUUAGCAAGCAGAUCUGCGUUCCUAUUGUUUUCUCUAGGGACCCAAGCAAAGGAACAAGAGGAAAAAUCAGACGCCAUAAUCAAAAUAUCCGCUACGACUCUGUAGAUUUCCGGGAUGGAGUUUCCAUGCUUUAUGCUGUUGAUUAGCAAGGUAGAGUCAGAUUCACAGUGGAUAUGUGGAACCUGUUUCUCUCUGCAGUACUUAAGAGCCCUUCUCAGAGCAAGUGCGUCUCCCAUCAGCGGGGAAUAAACAUGCUCAUUCGUUUCUGCAUACGAAGAAGUAGUACCUGCAGACAAUGUUACCCAGCCGAACCCCGCUGUCAACGUGCUUUCCUUCCAUGCCGCAUCCGUUCUAAGCACUGUGGCGUUUUGAUGGAUUACCGUAGCUGGUAAGGGGUGGCUUUUGUGUUCUUGUUUCUCACCUUGUCCAUUUUGCCAUUAUCUUGCAGCAGAUAUUGCUCUUGAUAGCGCAUCCAGUGGUUGAAUUGCAAAGUUGUCAGUUUAUUUCGCGCUGUCCAGAUCUCCCAAAGUAUCCAGGGUGCAACGUGAGCUGACGUGAUGCCAGCAGGGGGUAAGCAUCCCAUGGUUUUAAUCAUGUUCCAGCGAUUCUCCAAUUCUAUCGGUCCACUAAAAUCACAGUCAGCCCCCAACGGUGCUGCUCUCCAAACACACGUCACAUCUUCUAUUCCAAGUAUCUUGAUGACUUUCUUAUUGCCACGUCAGCUCUAGUUCCAUUGUCAUCAUCUGGUAGCAUCCUAUUAGUUGCAUUAGAGCAUCAGCAUUGAUUUAUUUAUCACCUUAGUAUCUUUAAUAUAUAAUACUAAUAUAAUUUAUCAUUGUGAUUAAAAUUUUAAACAAAAAAAAAUAAACUAGUGAUAUAAAGAUAUUUUGCUUGAGAGUUUCUCAUA